rfam:Norovirus Hu/GII/Leverkusen267/2005/DE nonstructural polyprotein and capsid protein genes, complete cds; and minor structural protein gene, partial cds.
AGUGGCAGUCCCCACCACCUGAAGAAGAACGACCACUGGAAUGGAGACUCUU